rnacentral:rRNA from 1 species
UAUGGUAAGUUGCAGCAGCCGCGGUAAUACGUAGGGGGCAAGCGUUAUCCGGAUUUACUGGGUGUAACGGGAGCGUAGACGGAGCAGCAAGUCUGAUGUGAAAACCCGGGGCUCAACCCCGGGACUGCAUUGGAAACUGUUGAUCUGGAGUGCCGGAGAGGUAAGCGGAAUUCCUAGUGUAGCGGUGAAAUGCGUAGAUAUUAGGAGGAACACCAGUGGCGAAGGCGGCUUACUGGACGGUAACUGACGUUGAGGCUCGAAAGCGUGGGGAGCAAACAGG